UGUUUGGUGCGUAUGAGGAGCAGAGAGGCUGACCCUGUGGGAGUCAGUGAGUUAAAGAAAGAUUCAUUAAGUCUGAAGAAAUAGACCACGACCAGGUCUCUUGUGGUACAUUAGAGCAUAUUUGGAUGUUAUUAUAAAGGUAUUGAGAAUCCAUUGAUGAUUAUUUGUUUUUAUGUUUUUAAUACGGCUUAAGUUGAUUUUACAAAUGGAGUAUAGAGUUUCUGUUUUUGGAAUGUAUUGCAGAAAAAUCCUGGAGGGCUCAAGAAAAAAUGGACAAGAUAUAAAAAUCAUCUGUUAGAAUGGAUGAGAGAACUAACAAUGCAUGAAAAAUUACAGGUCUUCAGCCCUUUAGAAGAAGGAAAACUAGGUGUAGGCUGCUGUGUUCGCUGCAGGGGACUGCAGAUUAUCAUUGCAAUGGGAGGUGCCCUCCAACUGCCAGGAGGGGAAGGACUUGCAGAAAACAAAAAAAUUGCAGUGACUUUAGAAUGAAUAAACCACAAUAAAGACCAGUAAUAUGGAUGAACUCACAAGCAACAUGCUGAGCAAAAGGAGUUACAACCACAGAGUACCUGCCAUAUAAAAAAAGGCAAAACCAACUUGUGAUCUGAGAAGUCAGAAGCUGAGGCUACAAGUAUACAAUAGGAAGGCUCACUAGCGUGAAACUCCCUGAAGAGUGACAUUGAAGUCAAGUACUAAAAAGGGGGUGUUACAAACAGUAAGAAGAUAAGCAUUCUAUGAAGAGAAAAUAAUUAGUACAAACACCUUGAGGCGAGAAUGCGUUGGGCAUAUUCAAGGAACUGAAAGAAGGUGGAUUUUACAAAUCUUACUUCUUGCAUGAACAUUUUAAAUACAGAAUUCUAGAAGGCCAGAAAAAAUCAAGAAUCUUACACCGACUCAGACCUUAGGUGAGAGACAAACGGGACUCUGAGACUGGGAAAGUACUUUAAGAGCUGGAGAUUCUGAGAGGGGAAGCAAGUAGCACAGGU